rnacentral:rRNA from 1 species
CCCAUCUGAACAUCCGUGGCUCGCCUCCUUGCGGUUAGGCUAACGGCUUCUGGAGCAACUCACUCCCAUGGUGUGACGGGCGGUGUGUACAANGCCCGGGAACGUAUUCACCGCAGCAUAGCUGAUCUGCGAUUACUANCGAUUCCGACUUCACGAAGUCNAGUUGCAGACUUCGAUCCGGACUGGGAUCGGCUUUCUGGGAUUGGCUCCACCUCGCGGUAUUGCAACCCUCUGUACCGACCAUUGUAGUACGUGUGUANCCCUGGCCGUAAGGGCCAUGAUGACUUGACGUCAUCCCCACCUUCCUCCGGUUUGUCACCGGCAGUCUCCUUAGGAGUUCCCACCAUUACGUGCUGGCAACUAAGGGACAANGGUUGCGCUCGUUUGCGGGGACUUAACCCAACAUCUCACGACACGANCUGACNACGGCCAUGCAGCACCUGUGUUCUGAUUCCCGAAAGGCCUCCCGCAUCUCU